rnacentral:tRNA from 1 species
AGCCCUAUAGUCUAGCGGUCAAGGAUACAGGCCUUUGAAGCCUGUGACCCAGGUUCGAAUCCUGGUAGGGCUA